rnacentral:tRNA from 1 species
ACGGGCAUAGCUCAAUCGGCUAGAGCACCAGACUCCAAAUCUGGGUGUUGGGGGUUCAAGUCCUCCUGCCCGUGCCA